UUGUCAUCAUCAAAGUUUGCCAACGAAUUGCUAAGGGCACUAAGAGGAAACGAGGAUUGGAAAUUCAAUAUCACCAAAACUGAAUUGCAUACAUUUUGGUUUCGGAUGAAAGAUGAUUCCAUUAACUCAAGAAUGCGAAUCUUCUUUGACAUGUGUAACAGAAACAUGGAUGGAAGAAUUACCGAGAUGGAUAUAAAGCAGGAUCCAAGUUACUGAAUACAAGAAGUUUACAAAAAGUAGAAUGGCUGGCUUAGACUUCCCUAGUCACCCAUCUUGUUUAAUCAGAUUCUUUUGAUUUUUUGACUUAAUCUCUUUCCCAGCUGAAGCAGCCACAAAGAAAUACCAAUUUGAUGCUUCACGAAGGGUUCGGUUGCGCAAUGGCCC